UCAAACUUGGUCAUUUAGAGGAAGUAAAAGUCGUAACAAGGUUUCCGUAGGUGAACCUGCGGAAGGAUCAUUACCGUGCCUCGUCGGGACGCCCCCCUGGGCGUUCCCGCACCGGCCACCCGUGUCUACCGAACCUCUGUUGCCUCGGCGGGCCCGCCGCCCCGGACUGUUUUGUCCAGGGGGGGCCGUCGGGGGCGCCUUCACCGCGCCCCGGGCCCGUGCCCGCCGCAGGGACUCUCGAACUCGUGUGAAGCAAGUGAGACAGGAGUCUGAGAACCAAUCAAACGCAGUUAAAACUUUCAACAACGGAUCUCUUGGUUCCGGCAUCGAUGAAGAACGCAGC
rnacentral:misc_RNA from 1 species